GACGAACGCUGGCGGCGUGCCUAACACAUGCAAGUCGAGCGAUCGGCCCGAGAGGGGUAACCCUUUCGGGUACGGAGCGGCGAACGGGUGAGUAACACGUGAGGAACCUACACCGGACUUCGGGAUAACCCCGGGAAACUGGGGGUAAUACCGGGUACUCCAUCCUUUCCGCAUGGAUUGGAUGGGAAAGGUCCGCCGGUCCGGGAUGGCCUCGCGGUCUAUCAGCUAGUUGGUGGGGUAACGGCCCACCAAGGCUGCGACGGGUAGCUGGCGUGAGAGCGUGGCCAGCCACACUGGGACUGAGACACGGCCCAGACUCCUACGGCAGGCAGCAGUGGGGAAUCUUGCGCAAUGGGCGAAAGCCUGACGCAGCGACGCCGCGUGAGGGAUGAAGGCCCUCGGGUUGUAAACCUCUUUCAGGGGGGACGAAGCGAAAGUGACGGUACCCUCAGAAGAAGCCCCGGCCAACUACGUGCCAGCAGCCGCGGUAAUACGUAGGGGGCGAGCGUUGUCCGGAUUUAUUGGGCGUAAAGAGCUCGUAGGCGGCCUUGCAAGUCGGACGUGAAAUACCACGGCUCAACCGUGGGGAGCCGUUCGAUACUGCUCGGCUAGAGGCAGGUAGGGGAGAGUGGAAUUCCUGGUGUAGCGGUGAGAUGCGCAGAUAUCAGGAGGAACACCGGUGGCGAAGGCGGCUCUCUGGGCCUGUCCUGACGCUGAGGAGCGAAAGCUGGGGGAGCGAACAGGAUUAGAUACCCUGGUAGUCCCAGCCGUAAACGAUGGGUGCUAGGUGUGGGGCUGCUACCCAUGCGGUCCGUGCCGAAGCUAACGCAUUAAGCACCCCGCCUGGGGAGUACGGCCGCAAGGCUAAAACUCAAAGGAAUUGACGGGGACCCGCACAAGCGGCGGAGCAUGUGGCUCAAUCCGAUGCAACGCGUAGAACCUUACCUGGGCUUGACAUCAGGGGAAAAGCUGCAGAGAUGCAGUGUCCGUAAGGGCCCCUGACAGAUGCUGCAUGGCUGUCGUCAGCUCGUGCCGUGAGGUGUUGGGUUAAGUCCCGCAACGAGCGCAACCCCUGUCUCUAGUUGCCAGCGAGUAAUGUCGGGGACUCUAGAGAGACUGCCGGCGUAGAGCCGGAGGAAGGUGGGGAUGACGUCAAGUCGUCAUGGCUCUUACGCCCAGGGCUGCACACAUGCUACAAUGCCGGCCCACAAAGGGCUGCAACCCCGUAAGGGUGAGCGAAUCCCAAAAAAGCCGGCUAAGUUCGGAUCGGGGUCUGCAACUCGACCUCGUGAAGUCGGAGUCGCUAGUAAUCGCGGAUCAGCAACGCCGCGGUGAAUACGUUCCCGGGUCUUGUACACACCGCCCGUCACACCACGAAAGUCGGCAACACCCGAAGCCGGUGGCCCAACCCGCAAGGGAGGGAGCCGUCGAAGGUGGGGUCGGCGAUUGGGGUGAAGU
rnacentral:rRNA from 1 species